rnacentral:rRNA from 1 species
UACGGAGGAUGCGAGCGUUAUCCGGAUUUAUUGGGUUUAAAGGGUGCGUAGGCGGCCUGCCAAGUCAGCGGUAAAAUUGCGGGGCUCGACCCCGUACAGCCGUUGAAACUGCCGGGCUCGAGUGGGCGAGAAGUAUGCGGAAUGCGUGGUGUAGCGGUGAAAUGCAUAGAUAUCACGCAGAACCCCGAUUGCGAAGGCAGCAUACCGGCGCCCGACUGACGCUGAGGCACGAAAGUGCGGGGAUCAAACAGG